CUGCUUGAAAACUGAAACUUUUAUCUGGGUAUAUAUUGUCGAUGUUACUCGCAAAAAAAAAUACUACUGUAUGUAUACGCUCCCGGACCAAGACGCUUCAUUCCCAACUUCACCCGGCCGCUCUCAAGAGAUCACCGACUUUUUCGGCCUGCAAGUGGGCAAACAGCGGUGUCAAGUACGAAUACAGUUUAUGUUUGUCAUAAAUUUUUGCCUCUAUAUACCAAGGAGAUAAUUGUUAGCCGCUAAUUAUCUUCUUAGAUCCAAACAGGUCUAGUUAAUAAUCAGCUAUAAGAACUAUUUCACUAGUUAGACCAAACUAGCUAAUAUCAACUAAUAUUAGCUGUGACCUGUUAGCUAGAUAACUAUUAGCAGGUAAUGGAUCCAAACAGGCCCAAGUUACCCCAAAGCACUCAAAGUUUUAAACUAGCAUAGGGGUACAGCAGUACAGCAUCAUUGGAAUAGCCCAUCUAACCAUCCAAGAGGCUGCUCAAUUUCUUGUAGACGCUACUGCCCGAGAAACAAAUGGAUUGCAUAUGCAAAGGAACAAAGACAAGGUGCAUGCAGUCUGGUUUUGCCUACAGGGAUACAGUUGUUGUAACACUCUGGUGUUAAACGAACUAAAACAUGACAUGUCAUCAUGAGCAUUGCAUAGUUUAUUGGUUAAGUAAACCCUGAUGCAUUAACUUAAAAUAAGUUUAAUUUGGAUGAAUGUGUUUAGAAAUUUAAAGUGUGCUUAUUUUUGUGUGUGAAUGCUUGUGUUGGUAUUUAAAACCCUAGUGUGACAGUUUUUCGAGAGCUUAAGGGGGGAACACCCUAAUUUCAAAACCCUAGAUUUGCCCCCUUUUGUGCAAUUCAAAAACCAAGCAAAAUUUGAAGUUGAGUUCAAAAGCAAAGUUGUAGGUCUUGUCAAGAUGUACAACUUUGGUGUUUUGAGUUUUUGGAGUUUCAAUACAAAAUUCAAAGUAAUUUUGAAAAUACAAUUUUCCAGAAAUUGUCCCCUUUUCCAAUUUGAAUAUCCAAUUCAAAAUCUAUUUGGAAUUUUGAAAAAUGGUCAACAUGAAAGUUGUAGGGCUUGAAAAGUUGAACAACUUUCAUGUUGGGAGUUUUUCAAGUUGUUUUGGAAAAUCAAAAGUAAUUUUGGAAAUUCUAAUCUGCCCCAAUUCAAAAUUGGAAUUUUUCCCAAUUUGAGAUUUGGAUUUCAAACUGUUUGGCUCAAAUUCAUCCCUUUCCAUUUGAAAUCAGCCUUGGACCCUAAAAGAUGUUUUAUAGUAUUCAAAAUUCUGAACAAGUUUUAUUUUGGCAGAAAUCUGACUUCUGUUCAAAUUUUGGUCAAUUUUCGCAAAAAGACAGAAAGGGGUAAAUGGGGAAGAGGGGGAUAAGCUUUGGCUUCUGUUCAUGGCGGUGGACCGCCGAGCUUGGAUCGGCGUUGCCAGCGCGUGAGCCACCGUUUCACCUCGUCCAAGCACGUGCUCGCGUCCGUGGCAAGGUGAAGCAGCUGCUGGCGAAGUGGAGCGCGACGUGUCCCUUCCUCUUGCGCUCACCGACGCCGAUUGCCACCGGAGCACCGACGGACAGCUUAUCACUCAAAUCCAAAAUUCACCGCAACGGUUGAUCCAUAUCCAGUUUCACCGUGGGCAUAUCUUCGUUACCUCCUUGCGCAUCUCCAGAACCCGUCCUUCUGUUCUCUUUCGCACCAGAGCACCGGAAUUCCUCAUUUUCAUCUUCGCCGGAGUAAGUCGCAGCCGAGCUCGAGUCUCCCGUGGUUGGCUCAUCUGGGCGACUCUCUGCUCUCUCUUUCUCUUGUCUUUGCUUCGGCAUGAUCCUGUGAUGCUCAUCGGCUCGCUCUUUUCUCCGUUGCUUCACAGCUGUCGCCGGAACAUCGUCUUCUUCGUCGGAGCUCGCCGCCGGAGUCACUGGUCGCGUGGACGAGUAUCACCCGGUUGUUCUCCGCUCCUUCUCUCUGCGUCAGCACACCCAGGGUGAGAUGCCGAUGCUUCCUGACCUCUUCUUCCUAUCUCUACCGGUCCAGGGUCGCCGGCGUAAGCACCGCCGCGGCCAUGUCCGCCGCCACUCGUGGCCAGAGCUCGCUAGAGCAGUAGAGUUCAGGUUUUCUAGCUCGUUCGGUUGCGGGUUGUUUGCUGAUGCUCGUGCUCGCCUCAGUUUGGUUCGGGGUGGCCGGAGUUGCCCGGCGUAACCCACGCCACCGCGUUCUGCCGCGCUCUGGUCAGCCGGGGCGUCGGGGACCUCGUGUUUGUAAAGAUGAGAAAGGGGAGGGGGUUGGUUGCGAAGCCGUAGACUCAUGUGAAUAGUUGACUGGUCUGCGGGUUGGUUUCUAGGAAAGCCAAGGGCUUUUCUGCAAAACCAUCAGCGCGCGGGGGGGAGGCCGGCUGGGCCAAGUUUCGCGCGAGCUUGGGCCGAGCUCCUGGGCCGCAGUGGCACAGUGAUGCUUUUCUUUUUCUUUUUGUUUAAAAAUGGUUGAUGUUUGAAUUUGUGUAUUAAAUUGUGUAGUGAUCCAAAAAUAGUGAAACUUUUUGUAUAGCUUCCUUAAAAUGAGUAGAACUCAGGAAAAAUAUUAGGUUCUAUUUUAUGAUAGUUUGCAUGUAUAUUUAAAUUGCCUCUGUUUAUUAAUAAAUAAAUCUUCCAUGAUUUUUAAUAAUUUAUGGGUAUAUCCAAAAAUCAUGAAAUUUGACAUGUGAACUUGUGUUCCUGUUAUCUAGCCUCAGGAAUAAUUUCAACCCUUUUUGAUAAAGUAUGCUCUGUUUCUUAAUAAAGCUAUUUAAAAUAAUUAUAAAAGAAAUAGAAAUAAUUAAUCCUUUUAGGAUUUGAGUGGUAUUUUGGAUUGAUUGACAACCAGUGGUCACUUAGCAUGAUAUGCUCCCUGGUUAUGAUUUAUUUCAUAUAAAUGAUCUUUGUGUCUAAUAACUACACAACUUAGCUUAAUAAAAAUGAUAAAACUUACUUAGUAGUAAUCUAUGCUUUGAUAGCUAAGUUAGUUUGUUUCUAUACCGUGAAGGUAAGUUGUACUCGAGGUAAUCAUGUUUGUUGUUAUCAUCCAAGAACAUGUAACCUGUCUUUAUCAUGCCAUGAGUAUCUCAUAAUCAUGCAUAUGCAUUUUUACGUAUAGAAUACGCUCCGGAAGAAUCUGAGCCUCAGUGGGUUGCUUCCGAGUUUGUGGAACCUUCGGGUUUUGCUGAGUUGUCGAACUUCCCUUCCGACCAAGGCAAGCCCCGGACAUUAAACCCUAUCCUUGUAUUUUCAUAAAGUUAUUUAUAUCACUUGAGUUAAUAUGAUGCAUUAGGUGAAUAGGAGUUGAGUGAAUCCUAUUUGCUGCAUUAUCUACCUUGAUGAUUUCAAUAUUAACCUUGAUACUUGUUUUAUGAAAAUGCUUAGUAUGCUUAGUCCUGCUUAUUAGAUAGGUUUUCAAAUGAGAAAGUUUGAAGGGUUGUUGUGGAAUAUUUUUAUGGUCAAUAAUGUUUCAACUUGAGACCGGUCGGUGGACUUGCUUUAAGAAUGGAGUCUUAAAGUAGUGUCUCCAACUGUGUCGAUUAAGGACCGUACCGUUGUUGGCCUGUUGUGAUUGAGAUCUUUGAGUACAGCCCACAUGCGGUGGUAAGCCUUACCUAUAGCUAUUCCGAUACUUGAGAACGGCUAACCGCGUACUGGGAGUGGAGAGAUGGCGAGAGUAGCGUGUACCCACCUUACGGAUCUGAGAUGACCGGGAAACAUCUAGAUUGGCUGUAGGAUGGUGGUGUACUGUACUCUCGGGUGACGCUGGACCCGUUCUUGUAUGGGAGGAUCUAUAGAAACAGGUUGACAUAUGCAAGAUUAAGUUCUACAUAUGUCGUGUGGUACUGAAUCCCCAGCUGGGUUUAAUCGAUUCGAAUCGCCGUGUUUCCUCAGAUAUGGAGCCUCAAUCCUCACCCCAUCAUCGUAGUAACAAGUAAAUCUUUGGCAUAAGAAAUAUAUGGUUUGCUUAUGAAAGUUUGAUAAUAGUUUUGGUUAGGCAUCAAUGAUGAUCUUGAGUUAAAACUUGAAAGUAGGUUUUAGUCUUAGUAAGCUUUUAUGCAAAAGAAAUGCUUGAUCUUGCUAAAGCUUUACCUUGAAUCCCUAUAGCCUGCAUACUUGAGUCUUCACCUCUUUUAUAGUCGGUUAAGUCUUGUUGAGUACUUUUGUACUCAGGGUUUAUUAACCCCUGUUGC
rnacentral:lncRNA from 1 species